UCACAGGAAAGGUGAAAUGUAGUUGAUAAAGCUGCCCAAUAAUCAGAAAUGGUAGAAACUGACAAUCCAUGAUGGGAAAAAAGGCCA